rnacentral:rRNA from 1 species
GAAUUCACUAGUGAUUCAGGCCUAACACAUGCAAGUCGAGGGGUAGAACACUUCGGUGUUUGAGACCGGCGCACGGGUGCGUAACGCGUAUGCAAUCUACCUUGUACAGGGGAAUAGCCCAGAGAAAUUUGGAUUAAUGCCCCAUAGUAUAUAACCUUCGCAUGUUGGUUAUAUUAAAGUUCCAACGGUACAAGAUGAGCAUGCGUCCCAUUAGUUAGUUGGUAAGGUAACGGCUUACCAAGACGAUGAUGGGUAGGGGUCCUGAGAGGGAGAUCCCCCACACUGGUACUGAGACACGGACUAGACUCCUACGGGAGGCAGCAGUGAGGAAUAUUGGUCAAUGGUCGCAAGACUGAACCAGCCAUGCCGCGUGCAGGAAGACGGUCCUAUGGAUUGUAAACUGCUUUUAUACAGGAAGAAACCCUCCCACGUGUGGGAGCUUGACGGUA